rnacentral:rRNA from 1 species
AGUGGCGAACGGGUGAGUAAUGCGUGACCAACCUACCCCAUGCUCCAGAAUAGCUCCUGGAAACGGGUGGUAAUGCUGGAUGCUCCAACUUGACGCAUGUUUUGUUGGGAAAGUGUUUAGUGGCAUGGGAUGGGGUCGCGUCCUAUCAGCUUGUAGGCGGGGUAAUGGCCCACCUAGGCUUCGACGGGUAGCCGGCCUGAGAGGGCGGACGGCCACAUUGGGACUGAGACACGGCCCAGACUCCUACGGGAGGCAGCAGGU